GGCCGCCUGGCGAAAUGGCAUCGCGUCUGACUACGAUAUCGGGUUGUCCCCGAUAAUAUGUGUAAUCAGGAGAUUGCAGGUGCGACCCCUGCGGUGGUCA